rnacentral:rRNA from 1 species
UACAGAGGUCUCAAGCGUUGUUCGGAUUCAUUGGGGCGUAAAGGGUGCGUAGGCGGCGCGGUAAGUCGGGUGUGAAAUCUUGGAGCUUAACUCCGAAACUGCAUUCGAUACUGCCGUGCUUGAGGACUGGAGAGGAGACUGGAAUUUACGGUGUAGCGGUGAAAUGCGUAGAUAUCGUAAGGAAGACCAGUGGCGAAGGCGGGUCUCUGGGCAGUAACUGACGCUGAGGAGCGAAAGCGUGGGGAGCGAACAGG